AUACGUAGGGGGCGAGCGUUGUCCGGAAUGAUUGGGCGUAAAGGGCGCGUAGGCGGCCUGCUAAGUCUGGAGUGAAAGUCCUGUUUUCAAGAUGGGAAUUGCUUUGGAUACUGAUGGGCUUGAGUGCAGGAGAGGUUAUCGGAAUUCCCGGUGUAGCGGUGAAAUGCGUAGAGAUCGGGAGGAACACCAGUGGCGAAGGCGGGUAACUGGACUGCAACUGACGCUGAGGCGCGAAAGUGUGGGGAGCAAACAGGAUUAGAUACCCUGGUAGUCCACACUGUAAACGAUGAAUGCUAGGUGUAAGAGGUAUCGACCCCUUUUGUGCCGGAGUUAACACAAUAAGCAUUCCGCCUGGGGAGUACGACCGCAAGGUUGAAACUCAAAUGAAUUGACGGGG
rnacentral:rRNA from 1 species